GUGCUCGCUUCAGCAGCACACAUACUAAAAUCGGAGUGAUACAGAGAAGAUUAUUAGCAUGGCCCUGCACAAGGAUGACACGCAAAUUCGUGAAGCGUUCCAUAUAUUU